AACUCCGGUGGUCCAUUUGUUAGAGCGUCCGCCUCGGAUGCAGAAGGUUGCGGGUUCGAACCCUGACCGAGUCA